rnacentral:rRNA from 1 species
UACGUAGGGUGCAAGCGUUGUCCGGAAUUAUUGGGCGUAAAGAGCUCGUAGGCGGUUCCGUAAGUCAGAUGUGAAAACUCAGGGCUCAACCCGGAGACGCCACCUGAUACUGCGGUGACUGGAGUCUGGUAGGGGAACACGGAAUUCCUGGUGUAGCGGUGAAAUGCGCAGAUAUCAGGAGGAACACCGAUGGCGAAAGCAGUGUUCUGGGCCAGUACUGACGCUGAGGAGCGAAAGCGUGGGGAGCAAACAGG